rnacentral:tRNA from 1 species
UCCCCGAUAGCUCAGUUGGUAAAGAAUCCGCCUGCAAUGCAGAUGACCCUGGUUUGAUUCCUGGGUCGGGAA